rnacentral:misc_RNA from 1 species
GUUGAGUCACAGUAAUUAGACUUUGCUCUGUUCUGGAAAGUAAAACGAACUAGAUGAUCAUGUUACCGCUUCGUACUUGCAGAAGCUAUCGAUGAUAAAACUAUGUAAAGUGGCGAAACCUAUCAGCCAAACUGCCAAACUUUUGUCUCAAAAAGCACAGAAAGUUAAUAGAUUUUCUCCUAAUCUUAGAGCAAUGUCAUGUAUAUGCACAGUGCUUGGGAUUUAUAUUUUCUAUUGAUGCUGCGAUCUUGGAAUUGGGCAACGAUGUUAUAGAAAACCAUAGUAAUACAGUUAAAACUACACUGAAGUAAUAUGUUGUGCAUGUUGUUCUUACCGAUUCUCGCUAAUAAUUUCAUUUUAUAAACAAUAACAGUCAGUGCAGUGUGGACCCUCUGAAGGACAAGUAUAUAUUGCACUCGUGGGAUAAAUUCACUACAUCUAUAUUGUGUAUCUUGACCCAAAUACAAUGAAUAGCUAGACAAAAAAGCAGAAAAGCUAAAAGGUGAGUCCGUCAUGGAAAACAAGGCGUAUGCAUCAGAGACAUCUAUAGAUAUACCAAAGAUUACAAAUCCAAACCCCCGCGAAAAUGCCUCUCAUGUUCAUAUCAAUAUUCCAGAGAAAUGUCCAAUAACACUUGACAAACAAAACACGCCAACUGUUACUGAUAAAGAAACAACCCACACAGAGGAAACUGAAGAAUCAUUGUCAAAAGAAACAUGUUUACAAAAUGUGCUAAAAGUUCAAAGGAAACUAUCAGCAUAUUAUCAUCAACAAAAACAUAAACUCUGGAAAAUUACAAAGUUUAUCCUUCUAAUAGGGUGGUUUGUAUAUAUUGCAUUUGCGUUAUUAUACAAUCCAGAGGGCGCCAUUGUAGUGACAGUUAUUACGGGACUUGCAUCGUUAGGCAUAGGAUAUUCAUUGAUGAAAGAAAAUGGAUUUCUAGGCAAGUUGCAAACGCAUUGCUUUAAACCAUGCUUCCAAUGUGUAACCAAGAACUGGAGGUUUCUAAGAUGGUUUGCAUAUGGGUUAGCAUUAGUUGGCAUAGCAACCUUGCUUUAUUUCCUCGUUGCCAAGGAAAACCCAGAAUAUCUGAGAUCACUUGCAGGCCUUGUGACUAUCAUUGUUCUGACGUUUAUCACAUCUACACAUCCAACUAAGGUAAACUGGCGACCAGUUGUAUGGGGCCUGGGACUUCAGUUCUUAUUUGGCCUAGUAGUGUUACGAUGGGAGUCUGGAUACAAACUGUUUGAGGCUAUGGCGAAUACAUUCCGAGACUUUCUGAGGCACUCGGACACUGGGUCCAUAUUCAUGUUCGGGGAAGCUUACAUCAAUCACCCAAUCGCAUUCCAGGCGUUCCCGCAAGCAAUCUUUUUCAGUUCUGUGAUGUCAGUUCUUUUCCACGUGGGCAUUAUGAAAAAGGUGAUAGGUGGCGUUGGUUGGAUAAUGGAGGUCACGUGUGGCACGACGACAAUAGAGUCCAUUAACGCUGCAGCAAAUAUAAUUGUCAGUGGAGUUGAAACGGCUGUGAUUAUUCGUCACUGGCUACCUGAGCUGACAUAUUCGGAGCUACACGCAGUCAUGACUGCCAACUUCUCGACUGUUUCAGGAGUCGUCUUUGCACUAUUCAUCAGUUUAGGAGCACCUCCUGUCCACGUUGUCUCUGCCGCUAUAAUGUCCGCCCCGGCGGCCCUGGCACUGAGCAAACUAAGCUGCCCCGAGACUGAAGAAAGUCUUACGAAGAGAGGAGAUCUGAAAUUAGACAUUCCGAAGGCUUCCAACAUUCUCGAUGCUGCCAGCAAUGGUGCAGUUAUUACGAUCAAGCUCAUCUCCCAUGUUGUCGUCAACAUCAUUGCGUUCUCUGGCCUCAUGACCUUUGUCAACGCUGCUCUUUCCUAUAUUGGUGGCAGGGUCGGUUUGGCUGAACUAAGUUUCAAGCUUAUUUGUGGAAAAGUUCUCAGUCCUCUGGCCUACCUUUUGGGUGUAACCUGGGCAGAUGCAGAAAAGGUUGGAGAGUUGAUCGGAAUUAAACUGUUCGUCAACGAAUAUCUCUCCUACGAGCUAAUGAACAGAUAUUACAUAGAGGGAGUCAUGACGGAAAGGUCUGUUGCUAUAACAACAUACACGUUGACCGGGUUCGGGAGUGUGAUGGACAUUGGAAUUGUUGUUGGAGUAAUCAGUGCGUAUGCGCCCAAUAAGAAGGCUGAUCUGAGUAAAAUGGCGAUGAGGACGCUUUUACUCGGGAACGUGGCCGGUUGGCUCACAGCUUGUGUAGCAGGUGUUUUGUAUCAGGGCCAGGAUUCUUACUAUGUCCCGACCAGCAGUGCCAUCUUUAAUUCAACAACAACUAUUUCAACUAUGUAACCAGAAACAGAACGUAGAUUUGCUGAAUUAAAAAAUACUUCCCUUGAAAUUAUUUGUCAUUGGGGUAGAAAAAAUAAAAUGUAUAAAUAAAGACAUUUUCUCAAUCUUUUAUUAUAAAGGGCGGGUUCCAUUAAGGGCCAAUUUUAGCCUCUACAGAUAUCUCAUGAUAAUGCAUAUGAUAUUGAAGAGGAAUUAUUUGUGCUUUAUAAUAACACAAUUUGAGCUCAUUUAUACCAUUGGCGUUAACGCUACAGUCAGUUAAAGGUCAC